GGUCAGAGGUCAGCGCGCCGCCAUGUCAGAAGCCGAGCAGACGGAGGACCGGGCUCCGGUGGUGUCGCGCGCCCCGGUGCGGACGCUGCAGCUGCCCGCGAGCUUCCAGAUCCCGCCAGGCAUGGUGCUGGUGCGCAGCGACGGCGGGCAGCUCAUGUUGGUGUCCCAGCAGGCGUUGGCGCAGGCGCAGGGCGUCGCCUCCAAGCCAGCCACUGCGCAGGCGCAGUCUCCUGCAGCCGCCCUCAUCAGGAUCUCCCUUCCAGCCAACGUCCAGAAGGGCGGCUCUGCCUCCACGGUGGUGCCCGCUGGUGUGACGUCCAGCC
rnacentral:lncRNA from 1 species